rnacentral:rRNA from 1 species
CCCUUAGAUGUUCUGGGCUGCACGCGUGUUACAAUCGGGAGUACAACAAGAUUGCAAAUCCUAGUGGAUGAGUGGUUCUUCGAAAUUUUCUGAAGACUGGGAUAGUUGAUUGAAAUUAUUCAACUCGAACGAGGAAUUCCUUGUAAUUGUAAUUCAUUAUAUUGUAAUGAAUACGUCCCCGCCCUUUGUACACACUGCCCGUCGCUCCUACCGAUUGAACGAUCCGGUGAAUUAUUUGGAGUAGCUCUGGAAGUUGCAGAACUUCCUAUGUCACGAAAUUUUGUAAACCUUAUCGUUUAGAGGAAGGAAAAGUCGUAACA